rnacentral:rRNA from 1 species
UGUAAGCGUAUAUUAAAGUUGUUGCAGUUAAAAAGCUCGUAGUUGGAUUUGUGGCGUACGGUGUGUUCCGGGCACUUGUUGUCUGAGUAACCUGCUGUUGCCAUCCUUGGGUGGAACCUGUGUGGCAUUAGGUUGUCGUGCAGGGGAUGCCCAUCAUUUACUGUGAAAAAAUUAGAGUGUUCAAAGCAGGCUUAUGCCGUUGAAUAUAUUAGCAUGGAAUAAUGAGAUAGGACUUUUUUGCUAUUUUGUUGGUUUGCGCAAAGAGGUAAUGAUUAAUAGGGACAGUUGGGGGUAUUCGUAUUCCAUUGUCAGAGGUGAAAUUCUUGGAUUUUUGGAAGACGAACUACUGCGAAAGCAUUUACCAAGGAUGUUUUCAUUAA